GAGUUCAGACUUGUGCUUGUCUUAUCCAAGGACUUAUCUGCUGUGGUCUAAUGACAUGCUCAGCAAGGAAUAUAGCAGAGUCCAAUCCUUUUCAGAUCAGUCAUGUCAAAGACUGCUAGCAAAGUCAGGCACCGUGGUGCACAGCUUUAUUACCAGUGCUCAGUAGACAGAGGCAGGUGGGUCUCUUGUGAGUUUAAAGCUGACCUGAUCUACAGAGUGAGUUACAAGCCAUUCAGGGCUGCAUAGUGAGAUCCUCUCUCAAAUAAUAAACAAAAAGACGGCUAGCCAUCAAUACAUUAAGGAGAUUGUUCUAAUAACAAAUGUUAGGCCACAAAAGGUCCCUCCAGCAGCAAAUGGAUAGAAAAAGGAAGUGGUUUAACUUCAUCUCCAUUGCUCAGGGAACAACAAAUGGAAGCCUGACUUUACCAAGACUUGAAUUCCUUCAGAAGUGACACUAAUAGAAGACCAAGAUACUCAUGAUUGAACUGAAUGUGGAGUAUUCUAUAGGGUGCACUUUUUGGGGGCUCUGUUGUAGUUUUGCUUUCUCAGUUAACAUCUCAUACUGAAACAUUCCACAUUUCCUAGCAGUGUGGAGACAACUCCAUUUUACAGUUCUGACUGAAAAUCGCCCUGCUUCUAGCUUAUCUGAACCCCUGCCCCACACUCCUAUUUAUUAAGCAUCACACUACCAGGGAGAUGAACUUUUAGCAAACUGUGCAAUUAAAUAAAACCUACUCUGUUUUAGAUUCUUGCAAUUGU